rnacentral:rRNA from 1 species
GUGCCAGCCGCCGCGGUAAUACCGGCAGCACGAGUGAUGACCGCUAUUAUUGGGCCUAAAGCGUCCGUAGCCGGCCGAAUAAGUCCGUCGGGAAAUCCGCACGCCUAACGUGCGGGCGUCCGGCGGAAACUGUUCGGCUUGGGACCGGAAGGCUCGAGGGGUACGUCUGGGGUAGGAGUGAAAUCCCGUAAUCCUGGACGGACCACCGGUGGCGAAAGCGCCUCGAGAGGACGGAUCCGACGGUGAGGGACGAAAGCUAGGGUCACGAACCGGAUUAGAUACCCUGGUAGUCC